GUUUGUCCCUUCAUAAUGUUGCUGUUGGGGAAGAAUAAGGUUGCCAGUGGAAUCUUAGCCCUGGAAAAGCACAGAAGAUCAACUGCUAGAAAACAGAGUCCCUGCAUUUUUAAUUGA
rnacentral:lncRNA from 1 species